UACGUAGGUGGCGAGCGUUGUCCGGAUUUACUGGGCGUAAAGGGAGCGUAGGCGGACUUUUAAGUGAGAUGUGAAAUACCCGGGCUCAACUUGGGUGCUGCAUUUCAAACUGGAAGUCUAGAGUGCAGGAGAGGAGAAUGGAAUUCCUAGUGUAGCGGUGAAAUGCGUAGAGAUUAGGAAGAACACCAGUGGCGAAGGCGAUUCUCUGGACUGUAACUGACGCUGAGGCUCGAAAGCGUGGGGAGCAAACAGGAUUAGAUACCCGUGUA
rnacentral:rRNA from 1 species